rnacentral:rRNA from 1 species
UACGGGGGGGGCAAGCGUUGUUCGGAAUUACUGGGCGUAAAGGGUUCGUAGGUGGCCAACUAAGUCAGACGUGAAAUCCCUCAGCUUAACUGGGGAACUGCGUCUGAUACUGGUUGGCUUGAGUGCAGGAGAGGAACGCGGAAUUCCAGGUGUAGCGGUGAAAUGCGUAGAUAUCUGGAGGAAUACCGGUGGCGAAGGCGGCAUCCUGGACCAUAACUGACGCUGAGGCGCGAAAGCUAGGGGAGCAAACGGG